CACCCUCGACCUCUCCGACCGCAGGAAGAAGCACGACGACGAUCGCCCCUCAGAAGCUCUCGCCGGCAACGAGGAGGAUAAGAAGCGGAGCGCCGCCGCCUGCUACAGCGCGGUAAGCCUCUCGGGGGUGCUCAACUUCGUCGACGGACUCUGGUCGUCGUGCGUGGGGGAGCGGCUGAUGAUCUUCACCACCAACCACGCGGAGAAGCUCGACCCUGCGCUGCUCCGCCCCGGAAGGAUGGACAAGCGGAUCAACCUCUCCUACUGCGGCGUGGAGGCGUUCAAGAUGCUCGCCCGGAACUACCUCGAUGUCGGCGACGACCACCGCCUGAUGGGCGAGGCGGCGCGGCUGGUGGCAGAGGUCAACGUGACACCGGCGGAGAUCGCGGAGGCGUUCAUGGGCAGCGAGGAUGACGCACAGGAAGGAAUGAGGAAGGUCGUGGAGGAGAU
rnacentral:lncRNA from 1 species